rnacentral:sRNA from 1 species
AGAAAAUGAUGAUGAUGUUUUGCUCACUACAAUUGAAGAUCUUGUUCUUGAAACUCCGGUAGCCAACUUAAACCCAAUAAUCCUUGAUUACGAUGUCGGGGAUGCUGAACCAGAAGACGAAUUCCGAUGUAAUUUAUCGUCCUCGGACGAAGAUGAAGUAGAAGAUGAAGAUGUAUAACUGUGUUAAUAUAUGUAUAAUUAUUUGAAUAAAUGUUAGAAUGAAUUUUGUUUCAUAAUAUCAUUGAACUUUUUUAU